rnacentral:rRNA from 1 species
UACGUAGGGUGCAAGCGUUAAUCGGAAUUACUGGGCGUAAAGCGUGCGCAGGCGGUUUUGUAAGACAGAGGUGAAAUCCCCGGGCGUCAACCUGGGAACUGCCUUUGUGACUGCAAGGCUUGAGUGCGGCAGAGGGGGAUGGAAUUCCGCGUGUAGCAGUGAAAUGCGUAGAUAUGCGGAGGAACACCGAUGGCGAAGGCAAUCCCCUGGGCCUGCACUGACGCUCAUGCACGAAAGCGUGGGGAGCAAACAGG